rnacentral:rRNA from 1 species
CGGAGGAAAAGAAACCAACAGGGAUUGCCCCAGUAACGGCGAGUGAAGCGGCAACAGCUCAAAUUUGAAAUCUGGCCCCCUCGGGGCCCGAGUUGUAAUUUGCAGAGGGAGCUUUUGGCGUCGGUCGUGGUCUAAGUUCCUUGGAACAGGACGUCACAGAGGGUGAGAAUCCCGUACGUGGCCGCCGGCCUUCGCCUUGUAAAGCCCCUUCGACGAGUCGAGUUGUUUGGGAAUGCAGCUCUAAAUGGGAGGUAAAUUCCUUCUAAAGCUAAAUACCCGCCAGAGACCGAUAGCGCACAAGUAGAGUGAUCGAAAGAUGAAAAGCACUUUGGAAAGAGAGUGAAAAAGCACGUGAAAUUGUUGAAAGGGAAGCGCUUGCGGCUAGACGUGCCCGCGGUUGAUCAUCCAGGCUCCGGCCUGGUGCACUCCUCCGCGGGCAGGCCAGCAUCAGUUCGGGCGGUCGGAUAAAGGCCUCUGUCACGUACCACCCCUCGGGGUGGCCUUAUAGGGGAGGCGCAACACGGCCAGCCCGGACUGAGGUUCCGCGCAUCUGCUAGGAUGCUGGCGUAAUAGCAGCAAGCGGCCCGUCUUGAAACACGGACCAAGGAGUCUAACAUCUAUGCGAGUGUUUGGGUGUCAAGCCCGAGCGCGCAAUGAAAGUGAACGGAGGUGGGAACCCUCACGGGUGCACCAUCGACCGAUCCUGAUGUCUUCGGAUGGAUUUGAGUAAGAGCAUAGCUGUUGGGACCCGAAAGAUGGUGAACUAUGCCUGAAUAGGGUGAAGCCAGAGGAAACUCUGGUGGAGGCUCGCAGCGGUUCUGACGUGCAAAUCGAUCGUCAAAUU